GGGGCUGUCUUGGUUUCGACGGGUAUAUUUAGCUAUAGAUUGCAGGUCGUAGGUAUACGUUAAAUACAAAACAAAAUAAACGCAAACAAAGUUAAAAAUGCAUUAGCAUCAGUAUUCAGAAGUAAUGCUGUUGCCUUUGCCUAAUCGAAUUUAGGUGAUGCAACUCUAAUUAUUUCUUUUCCUACGGGAAAUUCUUAGGGUUCGAUUUAGUAGGAUAUAUUAUUUAAUUUCUUUGCUUAAAUAAUGAAUUUUAAAAAGAUUACUAAAUAAGAGUUGUCAGCUACUAACUUAUUUAGGACACUAAUUAGUUGACUAAGCUUGUAGAUAUUUAUAGUGUGGUGUAUUCGGACACGAGUUCAAUUCUCGUCAGCUCCACCA
rnacentral:tmRNA from 1 species